rnacentral:rRNA from 1 species
CGCCAGCAGCCGCGGUAAUACGGAGGGUGCGAGCGUUGUUCGGAAUUACUGGGCGUAAAGGGCGCGUAGGUGGUUGUGUAAGUCAGAUGUGAAAUCUCCCGGCUCAACUGGGAAACUGCAUCUGAUACUGCAUGACUAGAGUGCAGCAGAGGGAAACGGAAUUCCUGGUGUAGAGGUGAAAUUCGUAGAUAUCAGGAGGAACACCGGUGGCGAAGGCGGUUUCCUGGGCUGACACUGACACUGAGGCGCGAAAGCGUGGGUAGCAAACAGGAUUAGAUACCCUGGUAGUCCACGCCGUAAACGGUGAGUACUGGGUGUGGGAGGUGUAAUGCCUUCUGUGCCGAAGCUAACGCGUUAAGUACUCCGCCUGGGGAGUACGGCCGCAAGGUUGAAACUCAAAGGAAUUGACGGGGGCCCGCACA